rnacentral:rRNA from 1 species
GGUAAAAAAAAGGUAAGCUACUAAGAGCGAAUGGUGGAUGCCUUGACUGGUAAAGGCGAUGAAGGACGUACUAGACUGCGAUAAGCUACGGGGAGCUGUCAAGAAGCUUUGAUCCGUAGAUUUCCGAAUGGGGCAACCCAAUGUAUAGAGAUAUACAUUACCUAUAUAGGAGCGAACGAGGGGAAUUGAAACAUCUUAGUACYCUCAGGAAAAGAAAUCAAUAGAGAUUGCGUCAGUAGCGGCGAGCGAAAGCGCAAGAGGGCAAACCCAGUGCUUGCACUGGGGGUUGUAGGACUGCAAUGUGCAAGAGSURAGUUUAGCAGAACAUUCUGGAAAGUAUARCCAUAGAGGGUGAUAGUCCCGUAUGCGAAAAACAAASCUUAGCUAGCAGUAUCCUGAGUAGGGCGGGACACGAGRAAUCCUGUCUGAAUCCGGGUCGACCACGAUCCAACCCUAAAUACUAAUACCAGAUCGAUAGUGCACAAGUACCGUGAGGGAAAGGUGAAAAGAACUGAGGUGAUCAGAGUGAAAUAGAACCUGAAACCAUUUGCUUACAAUCAUUCAGAGCMCUAUGUAGCAAUACAGKGUGAUGGACUGCCUUUUGCAUAAUGAGCCUGCGAGUUGUGGUGUCUGGCAAGGUUAAGCAAACGCGAAGCCGUAGCGAAAGCGAGUCUGAAUAGGGCGCUUAGUCAGAUGCUGCAGACCCGAAACGAAGUGAUCUAUCCAUGAGCAAGUUGAAGCUAGUGUAAGAACUAGUGGAGGACUGAACCCAUAGGCGUUGAAAAGCCCCGGGAUGACUUGUGGAUAGGGGUGAAAGGCCAAUCAAACUUCGUGAUAGCUGGUUCUCUCCGAAAUAUAUUUAGGUAUAGCGUUGUGUCGUAAUAUAAGGGGGUAGAGCACUGAAUGGGCUAGGGCAUACACCAAUGUACCAAACCCUAUCAAACUCCGAAUACCUUAUAUGUAAUCACAGCAGUCAGGCGGCGAGUGAUAAAAUCCGUCGUCAAGAGGGAAACAACCCAGACUACCAGCUAAGGUCCCUAAAUCUUACUUAAGUGGAAAACGAUGUGAAGUUACUUAAACAACCAGGAGGUUGGCUUAGAAGCAGCCAUCCUUUAAAGAAAGCGUAAUAGCUCACUGGUCUAGUGAUUUUGCGCGGAAAAUAUAACGGGGCUAAAGUAAGUACCGAAGCUGUAGACUU